GGCUAUCUGUCACAGUACAUACUCCUGUUAAUAUUUCCUAAGGUGCGUGGCGUGCGCUGGAAACACACUCAUGAGCUUAUUCAAGGCAAAGUAAAGCUCUCAUCUGGGAUUGGUAAGAGUCUCUCCAAGCACCCCGAAGACUUCCAGCUCAUUCUUGAUUGCACAUGGCAGCCUCUGACCUGCACCGAAGGCACCCGCUGCCAUGGAAGAUUGAUGAUUAUCGAUGCAGAAACCCUUUGCUAAUUCAGCGUACGAGGUUAGUAUGCUUUCUUCAAUGAGCCAGGCAGAUAGCUGGCUAACUGUUUUACCCUCAUCUGUGAGUAGCGAUGCCAUCAGUGAUUUGGCUGAAUAGAGAGAAAUACUGGAGGACAAGCAGAGGUUAAGGCCUCCGAAGUCACCGAAGGACGAAGAGUCCAGCAAGAUUACACUCUAAUUGAUUCUAGUAUUUUUCCCCAUGUGAAUGAAGCAUUGAUGCAUUUCAGUAAUCUCCACAUCAAGUCAUACUUUUUAAAUUAAAUAAAUCACCCGGGAUUGAA
rnacentral:lncRNA from 1 species